rnacentral:rRNA from 1 species
GACGAACGCUGGCGGCGUGCUUAACACAUGCAAGUCGAACGGAAAGGCCUGCUUUCCCUUGUGGAUUGCGGGUACUCGAGUGGCGAACGGGUGAGUAACACGUGAGUGAUCUGCCCCCAACUUGGGUAUAAGCCUGGGAAACUGGGUCUAAUUCCCGAUAGGACUGCAGGGUGGUGCCUGUGGUGGAAAACGAUUUUCUAGUGGUUGGGGGUGAGCUCGCGGCCUAUCAGCGUGUUGGUGGGGUAAUGGCCUACCAAGGCGGCGACGGGUAGCCGGCCUGAGAGGGUGGGCGGCCACAUUGGGACUGCGAGACGGCCCAGACUCCUGCGGGAGGCAGCAGUGGUGAAUAUGGCAGAAGGGGCGGAAGCCUGAUGCAGCGACGCCGCGUGGGGGAUGACGGCCUUCGGGUUGUAAACUCCUUUCGAGCGCGAGGAAGCCACCUGGUUGGAAGGGUGGUGACGGUAGUGGUAGAAGAAGCACCGGCUAACUACGUG